GAUGAACGCUGGCGGCGUGCCUAAUACAUGCAAGUCGAGCGAACAGAUGAGGAGCUUGCUCGUCUGACGUUAGCGGCGGACGGGUGAGUAACACGUGGAUAACCUACCUAUAAGACUGGGAUAACUUCGGGAAACCGGAGCUAAUACCGGAUAAUAUAUUGAACCGCAUGGUUCAAUAGUGAAAGACGGUUUUGCUGUCACUUAUAGAUGGAUCCGCGCCGCAUUAGCUAGUUGGUAAGGUAACGGCUUACCAAGGCAACGAUGCGUAGCCGACCUGAGAGGGUAAUCGGCCACACUGGAACUGAGACACGGUCCAGACUCCUACGGGAGGCAGCAGUAGGGAAUCUUCCGCAAUGGGCGAAAGCCUGACGGAGCAAUGCCGCGUGAGUGAUGAAGGUCUUCGGAUCGUAAAACUCUGUUAUUAGGGAAGAACAAAUGUGUAAGUAACUAUGCACGUCUUGACGGUACCUAAUCAGAAAGCCACGGCUAACUACGUG
rnacentral:rRNA from 1 species